rnacentral:rRNA from 1 species
AUACGGAGGGUCCAAGCGUUAUCCGGAUUUAUUGGGUUUAAAGGGUCCGUAGGCGGGACUUUAAGUCAGUGGUGAAAGCCUACAGCUUAACUGUAGAAUUGCCAUUGAAACUGAAGUUCUUGAAUCUAGUUGAAGUGGGCGGAAUAUGACAUGUAGCGGUGAAAUGCAUAGAGAUGUCAUAGAACACCGAUUGCGAAGGCAGCUUACUAAACUAGUAUUGACGCUCAGGGACGAAAGCGUGGGGAGCGAACAGGAUUAGAAACCCCAGUAGUCC